rnacentral:rRNA from 1 species
AGUAGUUUGAUCAGUGGCUCAGGACGAACGCUGGCGGCGUGCUUAACACAUGCAAGUCGAGCGGAAAGGGCUCCUUCGGGGGUACUCGAGCGGCGAACGGGUGAGUAACACGUGAGUAAUCUGCCCUUGGCUUUGGGAUAAGCCCCGGAAACGGGGUCUAAUACCGGAUACGACGCACUCUCGCAUGGGAUGUGUGUGGAAAGUUUUUUCGGCCAGGGAUGUGCUCGCGGCCUAUCAGCUUGUUGGUGGGGUAAUGGCCUACCAAGGCUUCGACGGUAGCCGGCCUGAGAGGGUGACCGGCCACACUGGGACUGAGACACGGCCCAGACUCCUACGGGAGGCAGCAGUGGGGAAUAUUGGACAAUGGGCGGAAGCCUGAUCCAGCAACGCCGCGUGAGGGAUGACGGCCUUCGGGUUGUAAACCUCUUUCAGUACCGACGAAGCGCCGAUGAUGGUGGUGACGGUAGGUACAGAAGAAGCACCGGCCAACUACGUG